AGUGAACGCUGGCGGUAGGCCUAACACAUGCAAGUCGAACGGCAGCACAGUAAGAGCUUGCUCUUACGGGUGGCGAGUGGCGGACGAGUGAGGAAUACAUCGGAAUCUACUUUUUCGUGGGGGAUAACGUAGGGAAACUUACGCUAAUACCGCAUACGACCUACGGGUGAAAGCAGGGGAUCUUCUGACCUUGCGCGAUUGAAUGAGCCGAUGUCGGAUUAGCUAGUUGGCGGGGUAAAUGCCCACCAAGGCGACGAUCCGUAGCUGGUCUGAGAGGAUGAUCAGCCACACUGGAACUGAGACACGGUCCAGACUCCUACGGGAGGCAGCAGUGGGGAAUAUUAGACAAAGGGCGCAAGCAUGAUCCAGCCAUACCGCGUGGGUGAAGAAGGCCUUCGGGUUGUAAAGCCCUUUUGUUGGGAAAGAAAAGCAGCAGGUUAAUACCCCGCUGUUCUGACGGUACCCAAAGAAUAAGCACCGGCUAACUUCGUG
rnacentral:rRNA from 1 species